rnacentral:rRNA from 1 species
GGCGGACGGGUGAGUAAUGCUUAGGAAUCUGCCUAUUAGUGGGGGACAACGUUCCGAAAGGAACGCUAAUACCGCAUACGUCCUACGGGGGAAAGCAGGGGAUCUUCGGACCUUGCGCUAAUAGAUGAGCUAAGUCGGAUUAGCUAGUUGGUGGGGUAAAGGCCUACCAAGGCGACGAUCUGUAGCGGGUCUGAGAGGAUGAUCCGCCACACUGGGACUGAGACACGGCCCAGACUCCUACGGGAGGCAGCAGUGGGGAAUAUUGGACAAUGGGCGCAAGCCUGAUCCAGCCAUGCCGCGUGUGUGAAGAAGGCCUUUUGGUUGUAAAGCACUUUAAGCGAGGAGGAGGCUCCUUUAGUUAAUACCUAAAGUGAGUGGACGUUACUCGCAGAAUAAGCACCGGCUAACUCUGUGCCAGCAGCCGCGGUAAUACAGAGGGUGCGAGCGUUAAUCGGAUUUACUGGGCGUAAAGCGUGCGUAGGCGGCUUUUUAAGUCGGAUGUGAAAUCCCUGAGCUUAACUUAGGAAUUGCAUUCGAUACUGGAGAGCUAGAGUAUGGGAGAGGAUGGUAGAAUUCCAGGUGUAGCGGUGAAAUGCGUAGAGAUCUGGAGGAAUACCGAUGGCGAAGGCAGCCAUCUGGCCUAAUACUGACGCUGAGGUACGAAAGCAUGGGGAGCAAACAGGAUUAGAUACCCUGGUAGUCCAUGCCGUAAACGAUGUCUACUAGCCGUUGGGGCCUUUGAGGCUUUAGUGGCGCAGCUAACGCGAUAAG